GAUGAAGAACGCAGCGAAAUGCGAUACGUAAUGUGAAUUGCAAAUUCAGUGAAUCAUCGAGUCUUUGAACGCACAUUGCGCCCCCUGGUAUUCCGGGGGGCAUGCCUGUCCGAGCGUCAUUGCUGCCCUCAAGCACGGCUUGUGUGUUGGGCCCCGUCCUCCGAUCCCGGGGGACGGGCCCGAAAGGCAGCGGCGGCACCGCGUCCGGUCCUCGAGCGUAUGGGGCUUUGUCACCCGCUCUGUAGGCCCGGCCGGCGCUUGCCGAUCAACCCAAAUUUUAUAUCCAGGUUGACCUCGGAUCAGGUAGGGAUACCCGCUGAACUUAAGCAUAUCAAUAAGCGGAGGA
rnacentral:misc_RNA from 1 species